rnacentral:rRNA from 1 species
UACGUAGGGUGCGAGCGUUGUCCGGAAUUAUUGGGCGUAAAGGGCUCGUAGGCGGUUUGUCGCGUCGGGAGUGAAAACCUUGGGCUUAACUCAGGGCUUGCUUUCGAUACGGGCAGACUAGAGGUAUGCAGGGGGAGAACGGAAUUCCUGGUGUAGCGGUGAAAUGCGCAGAUAUCAGGAGGAACACCAGUGGCGAAGGCGGCCUUCUGGACCAAUACUGACGCUCAUGCACGAAAGCGUGGGGAGCAAACAGG